rnacentral:rRNA from 1 species
ACUAUAGUGCCGUUAAACCCACCUGAGUAGUAACAGUGUAUACUUUAAACUCAAAGAAUUUGGCGGCCCUUCAUCUCUUUAGAGGAACCUGCCCCAUAAUCGACGGUCCACGAUAUAUUAUACCCUUUCUAAAAGCUUGUAUACCGCCGUUUAGAGUAAAUUCAAAAAUUUAUUCACAAUUAAAUUAUUAAGUAAUUCAGGUCAAGGUGCAGCCCAUGAUUGAGGGGGUGGUGGGUUACAUUUAUUUAUUACUCGGAACUUAAUCUGAAUAAAUUAUGUGAAGUUGGAUUUAAAUGUAAAUUAUAUAAAAAAUUGAUUGAGCCCUGA